AUUGAACGCUGGCGGCAGGCUUAACACAUGCAAGUCGAGCGGUAACAGAGAGAAGCUUGCUUCUCUGCUGACGAGCGGCGGACGGGUGAGUAAUGCCUAGGAAUCUGCCUAGUAGUGGGGGAUAACUUGCCGAAAGGUAAGCUAAUACCGCAUACGUCCUAUGGGAGAAAGGAGGGGACCUUCGGGCCUUUCGCUAUUAGAUGUGCCUAGGUCGGAUUAGUUAGUUGGUGAGGUAAUGGCUCACCAAGACCGCGAUCCGUAACUGGUCUGAGGGGAUGAUCAGUCACACUGGAAGUGAGACACGGUCCAGACUCCUACGGGAGGUAGCAGUGGGGAAUAUUGGACAAUGGGGGGAACCCUGAUCCAGCCAUGCCGCGUGUGUGAAGAAGGUCUUAGGAUUGUAAAGCACUUUAAGUUGGGAGGAAGAGCAGUUAACUAAUAUUUGACUGUUUUGACGUUACCGACAGAAUAAGCACCGGCUAACUUCGUGCCAGCCGCCGCCGUAA
rnacentral:rRNA from 1 species